AACGCCGCGUGAGUGAUGAAGGUUUUCGGAUCGUAAAGCUCUGUUGCCAGGGAAGAACGCUAUGGAGAGUAACUGUUCCAUAGUUGACGGUACCUGAGAAGAAAGCCCCGGCUAACUACGUGCCAGCAGCCGCGGUAAUACGUAGGGGGCAAGCGUUGUCCGGAAUUAUUGGGCGUAAAGCGCGCGCAGGCGGUCAUGUAAGUUUGGUGUUUAAACCCGGGGCUCAACUCCGGGUCGCAUCGGAAACUGUGUGACUUGAGUGCAGAAGAGGAAAGUGGAAUUCCACGUGUAGCGGUGAAAUGCGUAGAGAUGUGGAGGAACACCAGUGGCGAAGGCGACUUUCUGGGCUGUAACUGACGCUGAGGCGCGAAAGCGUGGGGAGCAAACAGGAUUAGAUACCCUGGUAGUCCACGCCGUAAACGAWGAAUGCUAGGUGUUAGGGGUUUCGAUWCCCUUGGUGCCGAAKUUAACACAUUAAGCAUUCCSCMUGGGAGAGUACGGUCRCRGGACUGAAACUCAAAGGAAUUGACGGAGACCCGCACAAGCAGUGGAGUAUGUGGUUUAUUUCAAAGCAACGCAAAAAACCUUACCGGGUCUUGACAUCCCUCUGACCGUCCUAGAGAUAAGGCUUCCCUUCAGGGCAGAGGUGACAGGUGGUGCAUGGUUGUCCUCCUCUCGUGUCGUGAGAUGUUGGGUUAAGUCCCGCAACGAGCGCAACCCUUAACUUUAUUUGCCAGCAUUGAUUUGGGCACUCUAGAGUGACUGCCGGAGACAAACCAGAAGAAGGUGGGGAUGACGUCAAAUCAUCGUGCCCCUUAUGACCUGGGCUACACACGUACUACAAUGGGUGGUACAACGGGAAGCGAACCCGCGAGGUGGAGCGAAUCCUAAAAAGCCAGUCUCAUUUCAGAUUGCAGG
rnacentral:rRNA from 1 species